GAUGAACGCUGGCGGCGUGCCUAAUACAUGCAAGUCGAGCGAACAGACGAGGAGCUUGCUCCUCUGACGUUAGCGGCGGACGGGUGAGUAACACGUGGAUAACCUACCUAUAAGACUGGGAUAACUUCGGGAAACCGGAGCUAAUACCGGAUAAUAUAUUGAACCGCAUGGUUCAAUAGUGAAAGACGGUUUUGCUGUCACUUAUAGAUGGAUCCGCGCCGCAUUAGCUAGUUGGUAAGGUAACGGCUUACCAAGGCAACGAUGCGUAGCCGACCUGAGAGGGUGGUCGGCCACACUGGAACAGAGACACGGUCCAGACUCCUACGGGAGGCAGCAGUAGGGAAUCUUCCGCAAUGGGCGAAAGCCUGACGGAGCAACGCCGCGUGAGUGAUGAAGGUCUUCGGAUCGUAAAACUCUGUUAUUAGGGAAGAACAAAUGUGUAAGUAACUAUGCACGUCUUGACGGUACCUAAUCAGAAAGCCACGGCUAACUACGUG
rnacentral:rRNA from 1 species